GGACGAGGACGAGGACGGGACAAGAGGAGGCGAGACGAGGCGGGGGCGCGGCGCUCGUCAUCAGUACGCGUGCACUCAUUAUUUCGUACUACGUAUCGCGUGCAAGUAUAAAUUUCUUCAAUAGAUUUUUCGCUUUAUCCUUUAAUCCCCUCGAUCUGCUCUUUUCUCGAUAUAUCGUAUGGAAUUUUUGAAGCGAACCAUUAUUUUUUUCUCGCAAUACGCGAAGAGAUAAAUUAAUACCCUUUAAUAGUUUAAAGCGAUAAAAUUCUCCGAGAAUUUUUCUCUCGAUCCGUGAAUUGAUAAAUAAUAAAAUAUCCAAAUAUCUCUGCAAAGUCCAUUUUUUAUUAAAAAAUACUGGACCUACCGCGCGAAUUUAUUUGACAGUUGUAAAAAUUUAUUCAUUUAUUUAGCUAUUUAUUCCAGCCAGUCGUUAAUAAUUCCUAGUCGCAGUCAAUCGUCGUUAAUAAUAUCUUGUUGACGAAUAAUUUCUAAUCAUUAUUUCGUCAUUAAAAGUUUACGAAAAUUUAUAUAAUUGUUUUAAAGAUAGCAAACACGUGCGCGCGCUAAUAUUUGUCUGUCAAACCACCAUUUUAUAAUGUUACCGAUGGUGAAAAAUCUAGCUAUCUACUAUAUUUACAGUAGGUAUAGCAGUGAAUAUUUUUACCGAGUGACUCCUGACGCUUAUAUAUAAUAACGAAUUUACGAAUUUGAUCUACGAUUAAAAAUCUCGUAAAAAUUCGUUCAUGUUUAAAAAUUCCCGAUAUAACAGAGUUUGACGUUUCUGACGACGAUAUUUGAACACAAUGCAAAUAUUUGUAUCGCAAACAUAAUGUACUGACGAUACAUAUACUCCGUUUAACAACGUUACCGCCAAUAAUUUACCGAAAGAAUAAUUGGAUCCUUCACGAAUAUUAUUUCACGCAAAAAUAUCGAAAUGCAAUCGCGUAGGAACUUGUAAGGAGCGGACCGUUUCUGCGAUUUGCGCGGGAAACGUCGUGAACGGGAGACAAGAUCCAGAGAUCAGUCGGGC